CAAUACUUAGUGGCAGACGGGUGAGUAACAUGUAGGUAUCUGCCCUUUGGCCUGGAAUAACACGAGGAAACUUGUGCUAAUACCGGAUAAGUCUUUACGGAGAAAGCUUUAUGCACCAUUGGAUGAGCCUGCACUUGAUUAGUUUGUUGGUGGGGUAAUGGCCUACCAAGACUGUGAUCAAUAGCUGAUUUGAGAGGAUGAUCAGCCACAUUGGGACUGAGACACGGCCCAAACUCCUACGGGAGGCAGCAGUGGGGAAUCUUGCACAAUGGAGGAAACUCUGAUGCAGCGAUGCCGCGUGAGUGAAGAAGGCCCUUGGGUUGUAAAGCUCUUUCGUCGGGGAAGAAAAUGACUGUACCCGAAUAAGAAGGUCCGGCUAACUUCGUGCCAGCAGCCGCGGUAAUACGAAGGGACCUAGCGUAGUUCGGAAUUACUGGGCAUAAAGAGUUCGUAGGUGGUUGAAAAAGUUGGUGGUGAAAUCCCAGAGCUUAACUCUGGAACUGCCAUCAAAACUUUUCAGCUAGAGUAUGAUAGAGGAAAGCAGAAUUUCUAGUGUAGAGGUGAAAUUCGUAGAUAUUAGAAAGAAUACCAAUUGCGAAGGCAGCUUUCUGGAUCAUUACUGACACUGAGGAACGAAAGCAUGGGUAGCGAAGAGGAUUAGAUACCCUCGUAGUCCAUGCCGUAAACGAUGUGUGUUAGACGUUGGAAAUUUAUUUUCAGUGUCGCAGCGAAAGCGAUAAACACACCGCCUGGGGAGUACGACCGCAAGGUUAAAACUCAAAUGAAUUGACGGGGACCCGCACAAGUAGUGGAGC
rnacentral:rRNA from 1 species